AUACCUACGGGGGGCAGCAGUGAGGAAUAUUGGUCAAUGGGCGAGAGCCUGAACCAGCCAAGUCGCGUGAAGGAUGACGGCCCUACGGGUUGUAAACUUCUUUUGUCAGGGAGCAAUUGGGUCCACGCGUGGGCUUAGCGAGAGUACCUGAAGAAAAAGCAUCGGCUAACUCCGUGCCAGCAGCCGCGGUAAUACGGAGGAUGCGAGCGUUAUCCGGAUUUAUUGGGUUUAAAGGGAGAGUAGGUGGCAGAGCAAGUCCGAAGUGAAAACCCAAAGCUCAACUAUGGGAAUGCCUUAGAAACUGG
rnacentral:rRNA from 1 species